GUAGGUGAACCUGCGGAAGGAUCAUUAUCGUACCACAUGUGUGAGGCGUGCGAGGGCUGUCGCUGACUUUUUGACACAAAAGUCGUGCACGCCGGAGCAUGUCCUCUCACAUAAAAUCCAUCUCACCCUUUUGUGCACCACCGCGUGGGCACCUUUUGGGAUCUAACCGAUCCUGGAGGGGGCUUGCGUUUUCACACAAACCCCUUUUAAAAAGUGUAGAAUGACCCCACUUUGCGAUGACACGCAAUCAAUACAACUUUCAACAACGGAUCUCUUGGCUCUC
rnacentral:misc_RNA from 1 species